GAUGAACGCUGGCGGCGUGCUUAACACAUGCAAGUCGAACGGAAAGGCCCAAGCUUGCUUGGGUACUCGAGUGGCGAACGGGUGAGUAACACGUGGGUGAUCUGCCCUGCACUUCGGGAUAAGCCUGGGAAACUGGGUCUAAUACCGGAUAGGACCACUUCUUGGAUGUUGUGGUGGAAAGUUUUUUCGGUGUGGGAUGAGCUCGCGGCCUAUCAGCUUGUUGGUGGGGUAAUGGCCUACCAAGGCGUCGACGGGUAGCCGGCCUGAGAGGGUGUACGGCCACAUUGGGACUGAGAUACGGCCCAGACUCCUACGGGAGGCAGCAGUGGGGAAGAUUGCACAAUGGGCGCCAGCCUGAUGCAGCGACGCCGCGUGGGGGAUGACGGCCUUCGGGUUGGAAACUCCUUUCGCUAGGGACGAAGCGUUUUGUGACGGUACCUGGAGAAGAAGCACCGGCUAACUACGUG
rnacentral:rRNA from 1 species